GCUCGGGCUAGGCAUGUCGUCUCGUUCGCAAUGAGAAGGUCAGGGGUUCGAAUCCCCUAUGCUCCA
rnacentral:tRNA from 1 species